GCCCGUCUCCCCCCGUCUCCGCGCCCCCCCCGGCGCAGGGACUUCCCCCAAAGAUGAUCCUGCAGCUCUUUUCUCUUUUUGCCGCUUUGAGACUCAGAGAACUGUACAAAAUGGAGACAGAAAAGAGACAUUAGGUCACCCCAGUCCAUCUCCCAGGCUCAGGGAAGACUGCUCUUCACUUGAUGUCUCCCCUUCCUCUGAUUUCAGCAGGACACCUUCCCCUGGUCCCCCCUCUGCCUUCUCUUUUUUUGCUUAAUCUCAGACUCUGGUGGUUUUUUGGUCUAUGUUCAGUUGAGUUAGGGAUAAUAUCAAAAGCACUUGGUUCUGCAUUUGUAAAAUAACCAGUGACGCUGGCUGUAGCAUGUUGUGAGCACUCAUGUAAGUAAGACAUGGUGGCAAUCAGAUCACUGCACACACGCUAAUGAAGAACAUGACAGAUUGAAACCGCUGCUCUCAAAGGAAGCCAAAAGCACACGUGAAGCACUGGACAUCACAUUCAUCAAGCAGGACCUGCUGAACAUUUGCAUGCCCUCAGUAGCACAUCCGUGUCUCCUGCUUACUCCCAGAUGUGGAAAUCUAAAAAUCAGGGAAAGCAACUGACCCAGCUCAUCUAGGCAAGAAGUUUCAGCCCCAGAAUUAAAAUCAUGAGCAAUACCUGGGCUUUAACCACUGUAGAGCACUCUUCUCUGAUAUGUCCUUUGAAAGCGUAAUAGACCUGAGAGCUGCAGACAGACUCCUCAGAAGUAGCCCAUGAGGCCCAAGGAAUCCACAGACCUGGUUUGCAGGAAGAACUCUGAAGGAUGUCACCUCAGCAGCAAGCUAUGUUGUUGUAAAUAUAUGGCCCAGACUGCUGAAACUCUAAUUGCCGGGGGCCCUCUCAGUUCCUGUCCAGUCAGCAGUCUGUGGGAAAUCCUCGUGCAGACAAACAACAGCCUGCUAGCCCAGUGCUGCUGCUCUACGAGAGCCAGGAAUGAGUGACUGACUGAUGUAAAGAAAAUGAAAUAGAGAUGUGAAAAACAAACCCUGAUUCCCCAGUUAGGCAUGGGAACUACACACAUCUGAGUACUAACUAACUCUACAUCUGAGCACACAAUAAAAGCAGAAAGAAUAACUGCACUGAGUAACUGCAUUUUGCAUUACCUCUAAGCUGUGAAUAACACCCUCUGAAAUUUAGUCUCUAAUUCAGGCACCUGAAAACAAUUUAAAUCAGUGAAAGCAGCUGAAGCGCUAUACCUAUGAGAAGUCUGGUUACUUUGUGGUCAAACAUGGACACAGGAGCCUAUCUUUAAGCAUCUAGAUUAGAGAAUUUUGACCACUGUCUGCUCAGAGCAACUCUUCUGGUUUCUCUGACACCCCUUCGUCUCCCACCAGGAGCUCCGUGCUUAAUUGUCAUGGUCACAGAAACAUGAGAGAUUUUGCUAAGGGCAAAUGGCAUGAAACUGAAUGAGACCUAAGGCUAUUCUUGUAACUGUUUACCACUAUGUAUUCAGAGAUGCAAACAAGUUAAUGAGGGCAUGUAAUAAAAUACAUACUUUGUA